UUUUGUCUCUAUACCCUGUAAUAUGACAUGCGAGCCACAAUAGGUUUCAGGGGACCGGGUAAAAGCGUCAGUAAUGAUUACUGACUGCACAGUCCUGGUGUCUUGUAAGAGUUGAUCUGCUUGUUCUCCAGUUAAGGGAACAACCAGCAGAUAUAAAACAGAGCAUAGAUAGGAUCCGGUUUCCCAAAUGCUUAAUCAGUAACUCGGUCCAACGGACGAGCCAAAGACGGUACUAAAACCCACGCUUUUUAAUUUAGGGGAUGGUGACAGGGAUUGUUUCGGUUUAUUUUGCAAAACUGGGCAGUCCGCAAUCACGUGACCCUUUUGGUGAAAUCCUGCGACGGCUAGGGUCGUUGUAGGAAAAGAAAAAAAACCUGAACGAGGCACUGAAGAUGUUAGGCUUUCAAAAUGAAGCACACCAGCGUACUCAUCUGCCAACACUGCUGCCUGGGCCAAUGUCGCCACUUUCUGUUCAUUUCAAUGAACUACUACUCUCAGGCAGGUUGCUUUUAAAAUCCUCCAACAGCAUCAACUUCCGAAUAUCAAAGGUGUUAGCGUAACGGGCCGAACACCAGCGAUUGAACAGACUUUUUGUCCCUAGCAAACUCAACAAAAGUACGGUGAGAGGGUUUGUGGUUCCUGAAGCGCUGCCUUUAAGCUUCAGGCACCAACUCAUAAGCCCGCAACACGUUUGUUUUAACUAUAUCGUAUAGUGUAAACUUGUCUUCCAGGGAGAAAGCGGCUAUUACUUCCUGGGCUUUUCCAGACAAUUUACAUUACAACAGGAGCGGCCAAUGCAGCGCAGCGGCCACAUGCUAAAACGCAGAGAAAUAGGAAUCAGCUUCCGAAAUGGAAGGACUAAUGCAAUAUUUUUACUCACUUCAAAGUAGGCUUGAUGAUGGGUAGGUUGUGGAGUUAUCGGAUCCUCACCUCCUUGUCGGCUUAUAUGGCCAUUUUCCUCAUUUCUAAAUCAAACUCCAGCUGGAUAAACACACUUUAUAUUUUAGCUCCAUUUCCAAACAGGUCAGCACCACCUUUAGCCUAGCGGUCCCAUCUGAACAACCCGAAGCAGAAGAUAAAGGGUUGAAAUCGGGGCAAUGUAGAGGAGGUACGAGCAACCCCUUCCUCCGCCUUGGCAUAUGAAGGUCUAUCCGCCUCCCUCAUAUUUCAACAAGAAAUUUCCUUUUCUCACUAAACCCUCCCUGACUAGCACCAACAGCUCAGCCUUUAGGGCUUCCUCAGGGACGAAGAGUCCAUAAUAGUCAGCUAUGGCGCAAAGGUCUACUUUACGAAACCCCACCAACCGAUCAACUGAGGGAGCUUCAAUAAAAUGGGAGUUGGUUGAGGCAGUCAUGGUACACAGCAGCCUACUGAACACAUGUAAAUUAAGUCACCCAAACUCACAACCAAACCUCAGUCUCCAAUCACAGAGAUCAGAGCAGCGGGGUCCUGUGGAUUUAAUAAUCCCGGAUGAGCCCCCCGUUAUGUUACGUACGCCCCCUGGGCGGAGGGAACGCAACACCCUGCUACAACACAACUCCCCGUGGAGUGAAAAAGGUAUGUGAUCGUAGGUGCAGGGGAAGGACAACAGAGACAGAAAAAAAUUACCAUUUACAGUGAAUUUAUUAUUCCUAACACAGAAAUGUGGGGAAAAGGGGCUGGACAGAACUAAAGAAAAUAAAGUAAAAGUUAAAUAGUCCCGUCUCCUACCUACCCACUACUUACCUAAUCUUUUAGCACCUCCUGGCGAGCUAACCAAAAUACAGGGGGUGGUCCGCCCAGGUCUUGCCUAGUGUGCAGACAGUAAAUACUACAGUUUAUGUAUACCCGCAGGCCUCUUGCCUAAACACUCCAAAGGUGCAUUCCCCUUCCCCCCCAGGAACAAAUAAAACAGAAUAAUUACUAACUGAAAGUGAACAAUUUCACUAAUCAAAAACACUAAGCCCUAUUGGCAUACACAUACAGGAGUAGCAGCUACAAAAUACUUCAACAAAACUUUCACGGACUAACAACCAACACAGGACAUCAAAGAAGCUCUCUCCUCCUGACCAAGGAUCACUGGCUUUUAUCCAGCUGUAGAAGGAGUUGGUAAUUGAAGACAGUUGUUUCCCCUGACUAGAGGGAGGGUUCAGAGCGCCAAUCAUCGAUGGGGCCGACCAAUCAGCUGCUUGAAGAAUACAAGAUUCCAUUUCCUGAAAUACACACACACAUAUAUACAAACCCACAACAACACAGAAACUGGGGAGCGUAACAUAGUUUUCUUAUGUCUUACCAGUCACCAUGAGCUUGCAUGUUCCUUAAAAAACAAUAGGCUUUGUUGUAAAGGGUGUGGAUGUUUUUCUUUUGUAAAUUACUGAUGACUCAUUUUAACCACACUUAAUUCUCUAAUCUCUUUCUCCUUUAAUAUACCAGAAAGCUGAGUUGCUAUGGGAACAGGAACUGUAUGUUCCAUUUUGUUACUCUGUAUCUGCCCCUACUGCCACACCUUCCCUGCAAAUGUAAGUGACGUGCUCCAAGUUCACCCCUUAUCAAACACAAUCCUAUAAUCCUGUUUCAACCCUGAUGGUCAAAGCAACAAAACUGUUUAUGGAACAGCUUUUAGGGGCAUAUUAACCAUUCCGCUAUUAAAAAGGUUUUGGCCAAUAGCAUGGCUCUGAAAACAUCUUUGUUCUGGUCCUUGAUGGCCUCCCACACUGGCUGUGUGUGUUUGUGCAGGACUGCCAGGUGAGCCUGAACUUUGCAGCUGAGGCAGAGAGGUUCUGUGCAGCCUUGGAGAGACAGAUCCAACAAGCCCCAGAUUUGGAAAGCAACACACACACACACACACACGUCACAUCACAUUUACAAUAUAAUUAGUUCUCUCAGCUUCAGGCAGGCCAGUCCUCUUCUCUUUCUCCCCUCGUCUCCUCUUCCCCGAUCUCGCUGUCUCACGUCACUCUUUCUCAUUUUCUCCCCAUAACACUUUAUUUUACUCUUUAUCUCUUGCUGUCUCUCUUCCUCUCCCUCUCUUUCUCAAACAGAGCUAGUGGGCAGACUCAGCUGAACCGUACUGACAGUGUGGACUCUGCCUCAGGCUGUUUGUGUGAACAGGAACAGAGCCGAUCUGGGAUCAGCACUCCAUCUCCAGAUGUGUCAGAACGAGAAAUAUAUAGGCCAACAUCAGCACACUGGAGCUUAUACAGACCCAGAUAAUUCAUUAUUAGAUGCAUUUUAUGAUGCUGCAUUAGAAUGGAAGAAAAUAUAAAUGGCUGUCUGACUGAUUUAAUCUUGUCUCUUAUCCAGACGGUAGUCCCAGGUGGGAGUGGGCCCAGAGCAAGGCCUCAGUUCUAGUGAGCUGGACCCUGCUCUGAGGAAUCUGCUCAGGAAGGCGGGGCUAAACAAGGAGGAUAUGAAGGACAGACACACCCUCCUCCUAGAGGGGCACACCCUGAGAUGAUCAGAAAGAGCUUUCAGUGAGAGAAUAUGACUGUGGCAUGUCAAUGACAGUUGUAGACAAUUUCCAAUACAUGUCUGUGACGCAGUGGUGACCUGUCAUUCAGGGCAGAGCCCCACCUGUUAAGCUUUUUGUUGCCUGUUUUUCAUGUUAUUUUGGCAUUAAUACAUGUCACACAUGUUUGCAAACAAUGUAAAAUAAUAAUUGAGUUAAUAAAGCUAC